rnacentral:rRNA from 1 species
GCCAUGCAUGUCUAAGUAUAAAUAACUUUAUAUUGUGAAACUGCGAAUGGCUCAUUAAAUCAGUUAUGAUCUACGUGACAAAUUCUUUACUACUUGGAUAACCGUGGUAAUUCUAGAGCUAAUACAUGCAAAAAAGCCCUGACUUACGAAGGGGUGCACUUAUUAGAUAAAACCAACGCGGGGUAAAACCUGUUUCUUGGUGAAUCAUAAUAAUUAAGCGGAUCGCAUGGCCUUGUGCCGGCGACGGUCCACUCGAUUUUCUGCCCUAUCAUGGUUGAGAUUGUAAGAUAGAGGCUUACAAUGCCUACAACGGGUAACGGGGAAUUAGGGUUCGAUUCCGGAGAGGGAGCCUGAGAAACGGCUACCACAUCCAAGGAAGGCAGCAGGCGCGCAAAUUACCCAAUCCCGACACGGGGAGGUAGUGACAAUACAUAACAAUGCAGGGCCUUUAAGGUCUUGCAAUUGGAAUGAGUACAAUUUAAAUCCCUUAACGAGGAUCAAUUGGAGGGCAAGUCUGGUGCCAGCAGCCGCGGUAAUUCCAGCUCCAAUAGCGUAUAUUAAAGUUGUUGCAGUUAAAACGUCCGUAGUCAAACUUUAGUCUUACCGGCGUAGUGGCCUGGUCUUCAUUGACCAAGCUCAUUGCUGCCGGAGACUCCAUGUCCAUUGACUCCUAGUCCUCGUGGCUAGGGUUUUCUGGACAAUUACCAUGAGCAAAUCAGAGUGUUUAAAGCAGGCUUUUAAGCUUGAAUGUGUUAGCAUGGAAUAAUGAAAUAUGACUUUAGUCCUAUUUUCGUUGGUUUAGGUACUUCAGUAAUGAUGAAUAGAAACGGUUAGGGGCAUUUGUAUUUGGUCGCUAGAGGUGAAAUUCUUGGAUUGACCGAAGACAAACUACUGCGAAAGCAUUUGACCCGGGGACGUUUUCAUUGAUCAAGGUCUAAAGUUAAAGGGAUCGAAGGACGAUUAGAUACCGUCGUAGUCUUAAACCACAAACU